rnacentral:rRNA from 1 species
GAUGAACGCUGGCGGCGUGCCUAAUACAUGCAAGUCGAGCGAACAGACGAGGAGCUUGCUCCUCUGACGUUAGCGGCGGACGGGUGAGUAACACGUGGAUAACCUACCUAUAAGACUGGGAUAAUUUCGGGAAACCGGAGCUAUUCCCGGAAAAUUUUUUGAACCCCAUGGUUCAUUAUUAAAAAACGGUUUUGUUUUCACUUUUAGAUGAUUCCGCGCCGCAUUGGCUGGUUGGUAAGGUAACGGCUUACCAAGGCAACGAUGCUUAGCCGACCUGAGAGGGUGAUCGGCCACACUGGAACUGAGACACGGUCCAGACUCCUACGGGAGGCAGCAGUAGGGAAUCUUCCGCAAUGGGCGAAAGCCUGACGGAGCAACGCCGCGUGAGUGAUGAAGGUCUUCGGAUCGUAAAACUCUGUUAUUAGGGAAGAACAAAUGUGUAAGUAACUAUGCACGUCUUGACGGUACCUAAUCAGAAAGCCACGGCUAACUACGUG